CUCGCUCUGGUUUGCAGAGUUAUUAAUGCAACAUAAAGUUAAAGUAAGACCGCAGAUUUCCUUCGUUAAUACGAUGACCUCUGUGUCCCCUUCGCUUAAUCGUCACAUUCAAUAAUUCAACAUUCAGUGCAAUACUCGCAAUAAGCGACUUUUCAUCGAAUUUAUAUAUAAGGGGCAUAAAAUGUCUAAGUCUACUGGCAUCGUAAAAUGGUUUAACGAAGAAAAAGGUUUUGGUUUCAUUUCUCAAGACAACGGCGGCGCAGACGUAUUCGUACAUUUCCGUGCAAUCGCUUCAGAAGGUUUCAAAACUCUUGCUGAAGGCCAAAAGGUUUCUUUCGACGUUGAGCAAGGCCAAAAAGGCCCUCAAGCAGCUAACGUAAUCAAGCUGUAAUUGUCGUAAAAAGGGCCGCGGAGCAAUCCGCGGCCUUUUUU
rnacentral:sRNA from 1 species